CAAUGGCAUUGUUUAUGUUACUAUGGUGAUGGGGAGCACGAUCACGGGACGUGACGUGGUGCGACAUCACUUCUCUUGCGCAGCACGGAGCGGGCGGCGUCCCGCCAUCCGAAUGCCGCCGAGCACAGGGUGAUUACGUCCUAUAUAAGACCCUCAUCGUGGAACAUCUUAAAGGGGAACCCCGCCUCCCCAUGCUGGAAGUCAGGAUUACCCAGAAACCGUAGAAACAAGGAUUUAUGUCUCCCUAAGUUUCCUGAUCUUCGCAAGGAGUGCCAAAGGCGAUAGACAGACCACAGAAGGGGAUUAUCUCGUAGAUCCCGAUCGCAGUCCGCCUCCAUACAGUGGAGGAAGUUUGUCAAGUUUUUAGAUUUUAUGAAUUGUGCCUCAAGAUUUGUAUUUGCAUAAGUGUCUGUGUCGUUUAACCAGUCCCUCAAAAACCUCAAUAGAGAUGCGUGGUUAUAGAGCAAAACGUUAGGGAAGUUAAUUCCGCCAUUAGACUUUGGUUGUUGUAACUUAUGCAUGGCAAUACGAGCUCUCUUGCCUUUCCAAAUAAACUGUCGGAACAGUUUAGUUAUGUGUGACAGAUCUGAUCUACUAAGCAAUAUCGGGAGGGAUUGUAAAAUGUAUAAUAACCGUGGAAAUGUACACAUCUUUAUCAAGGCAGCUCUCCCUAAAUACGAAAGCAUUAAAUGGUUCCAUCCCUCAA